rnacentral:rRNA from 1 species
CACGCCGUAAACGAUGAAUGCUAGGUGUUGGGGGUCAAACCUCGGUGCCGAAGUUAACACAUUAAGCAUUCCGCCUGGGGAGUACGGUGGCAACACUGAAACUCAAAGGAAUUGACGGGGACCCGCACAAGCAGCGGAGCAUGUGGUUUAAUUCGAUGCAACGCGAAGAACCUUACCAAGGCUUGACAUGCACCGGUACAGUGUAGAGAUAUGCUGGCCUUUUGGGCUGGUGUGCAGGUGG